rnacentral:rRNA from 1 species
CAGGGGAGAGUUUGAUCCUGGCUCAGAUUGAACGCUGGCGGCAGGCCUAACACAUGCAAGUCGAGCGGAUGAAGGGAGCUUGCUCCUGGAUUCAGCGGCGGACGGGUGAGUAAUGCCUAGGAAUCUGCCUGGUAGUGGGGGAUAACGUUCCGAAAGGAACGCUAAUACCGCAUACGUCCUACGGGAGAAAGCAGGGGACCUUCGGGCCUUGCGCUAUCAGAUGAGCCUAGGUCGGAUUAGCUAGUUGGUGAGGUAAUGGCUCACCAAGGCGACGAUCCGUAACUGGUCUGAGAGGAUGAUCAGUCACACUGGAACUGAGACACGGUCCAGACUCCUACGGGAGGCAGCAGUGGGGAAUAUUGGACAAUGGGCGAAAGCCUGAUCCAGCCAUGCCGCGUGUGUGAAGAAGGUCUUCGGAUUGUAAAGCACUUUAAG